rnacentral:rRNA from 1 species
UUGUGAACGCUGGCGGCGUGCUUAACACAUGCAAGUCACGGGGGCCCAGCAAUGAGCAACCGGCGAACGGGUGCGUAACACGUGAGCAACCUACCUAAGUGAGGGGGAUAGCCGGCCCAACGGCCGGGUAAUACCGCAUACGCUCGAGACGAGGCAUUUCGACUCGAGGAAACCUACGGGACACUUUGAGGGGCUCGCGGCCUAUCAGCUAGUUGGUGGGGUAACGGCCUACCAAGGCAACGACGGGUAGCUGGUCUGAGAGGAUGGCCAGCCACAUUGGGACUGAGAAACGGCCCAGACUCCUACGGGAGGCAGCAGUGGGGAAUCUUGCGCAAUGGCCUAACGGCUGACGCAGCGACGCCGCGUGAGGGAUGACGCUCUUCGGAGUGUAAACCUCUUUUGCCCGGGACGAAUUGUCAGCAUUCGCUGACUUGACGGUACCGGGUGAAUAAGCACCGGCUAACUCCGUGCCAGCAGCUCGCGGUAAUACGGGGGGUGCGAGCGUUGUCCGGAAUCACUGGGCGUAAAGGGCGCGUAGGUGGUCUGAUAAAGGGUGUGGUGAAAGCCCGGGGGCUCAACCCCCGGGUUCGGCCGUGCCGACUGUCAGACUCGAAG